AUUGAACGCUGGCGGCAGGCCUAACACAUGCAAGUCGAGCGAGUGGCGGACGGGUGAGUAAUGUCUGGGGAACUGCCCGAUGGAGGGGGAUAACUACUGGAAACGGUAGCUAAUACCGCAUACUAUCGGAUGUGCCCAGAUGGGAUUAGCUUGUAGGUGAGGUAACGGCUCACCUAGGCGACGAUCCCUAGCUGGUCUGAGAGGAUGACCAGCCACACUGGAACUGAGACACGGCCCAGACUCCUACGGGAGGCAGCAGUGGGGAAUAUUGCACAAUGGGCGCAAGCCUGAUGCAGCCAUGCCGCGUGUAUGAUGAAGGCCUUCGGGUUGUAAAGUACUUUCGGCAGGGAGGCGUUACCCGCAGAAGAAGCACCGGCUAACUCCGUGUCAGCAGCCGCGGUAAUUC
rnacentral:rRNA from 1 species